rnacentral:rRNA from 1 species
GACGAACGCUGGCGGCGUGCCUAAUACAUGCAAGUUGAGCGCUGAAGGUUGGUACUUGUGCCAACUGGAUGAGCAGCGAACGGGUGAGUAACGCGUGGGGAAUCUGCCUUUGAGCGGGGGACAACAUUUGGAAACGAAUGCUAAUACCGCAUAAAAACUUUAAACACAAGUUUUAAGUUUGAAAGAUGCAAUUGCAUCACUCAAAGAUGAUCCCGCGUUGUAUUAGCUAGUUGGUGAGGUAAAGGCUCACCAAGGCGAUGAUACAUAGCCGACCUGAGAGGGUGAUCGGCCACAUUGGGACUGAGACACGGCCCAAACGCCUACGGGAGGCAGCAGUAGGGAAUCUUCGGCAAUGGACGAAAGUCUGACCGAGCAACGCCGCGUGAGGGAAGAAGGUUUUCGGAUCGUAAAACUCUGUUGGUAGAGAAGAACGUUGGUGAGAGUGGAAAGCUCAUCAAGUGACGGUAACUACCCAGAAAGGGACGGCUAACUACGUG